CACAGCAAUUCUUUGCACGCUUUCUCCGUUGUCAAAAUGAUUAGUGCAGAGCUCUAAUUAAAUACAAUAAUUGCCUUUUGCACGAAUCUAUGUCCUGCCGAUUAAACAAAGCUGUGAUUUUUCCCGACGCCUCUGUAUUAGGGUAAUGUGACGUCAUGGACCGUAUGUGACUGUACGCAGCGCGUGCUGCGGAGCGCGUGCUCUGAGCACAUGGAAAAAGGCUCGAGACAAAGUGCCCAAAGAAUAACUCAGCAUCUGAAAUGGAAUAUCAGUAACAACUUAAUCAAUUCUGGAGCAAAAAGGACCUUCAGAACAGCUGCUAGUCAGCCUGUCGUUCUCUUGUUGGAAGCCUGAAACCGGAGCCACGAGUGAAUGCCAAACUUUUCAGGAAAAGAGCUACGCAUUCUACCCCCCGUGAGCUGACAGCUCCUUGCCAUCAAAGUCAACGAUGCCGCUUUGCUGUGAAGAGAUGAAGAUCUGCUGUUGCCUGUGGACAGCUGGGUUUUACACAAUAGGCGUAAAGAUGUGGAAGAGGGUAAGGAAUGCUCUGGCAAUUGGAGUUAACAUGAAAUCAGUAUCAUGGCACCAUACUAUUUCUCACGAAUAUGUAAUAAUGUAUUUCUACAUGUAUCUACAUACAAGAUUCAGCUGGACAGAUGUAGUGUAACUAAAUAAAUUCAAAUAACUCAUUGCAACAACAUUAAACUAUUAUUCUCAAGCAAAUUUUCACUCCAAAGACAGCACUUUUACAUUAUUUGUAAUUAUUAAUUAUUUAUAAAUUAUGAUAUGAAGAUUGCAGUUUGAGAGAUUGGUAUUGGAUGCUUUUUUUGUGUGAUUAUUUACAUGCAUUUUGCCAUUACAAACAUAUUUAUAGUUUGAAUCGAUACAUAGACUAAGCCAGUUUUGUUAUAACCAUCCUAUCUGGCUGAAUGAAUAAUAAACUUCUUUUUUCAAA